CCGCCGCGCUAGCAGACCGGAGCCGCUAGGGGCGGACAGGCGGAGCACUGCUCCAUCCUCCUCUUAGCUCCAUGUCCUCCACUGAUUGUGCUGUCAUCCAAAGGUCCAAAAUGGUACCCCAAAAAAAUCAAUGGUACACUUGGUGUCUAAUCAUUGGUUGUUGAAAGUGAACGAUGGAUUUCUUCCGGGUUUACAAGUGAAAACAGGCGUUUAGUUAGAUUUUUUGGGUUUUCAAGUAGGCCUUUAUAAAUUAUGCACAUGGCAAGUGGAAGUCGGGCAACUUGUUUUAAAGUUGAUUCAUACAUUUUUUUGUGAGGAUUUUUAACUUUAAACAUUUUUUUACUCGUCAAACAUCUAUCAUGCAAUUCUUCAUACGACAUUAUCAUUAUCAUUAUGGGCAUUAUCCCGACCAACAAUAACAGCAUAUGACUGCACUGAAUCCAUCAAAAAAGCAUGUAUUUUCAAUCUUUGUCAGUUCCAUUCCCUGUCGUCGUCAUUCAGUAAAUUAGGAGACUAGCAGACUAGGCCCUGGUGUCCUGAGUUCAAGUCCCGUCAGUAUGUCUCCAUUGCACUUUUUAUUUUAAAAAUUCGAAGGGAAGGGGGGGGGGAACUUUACUUUCAUCACUAUACAAUUAUGUGCCCUACUAAAAGUUAGCAAGAGGUCUAUGGUUUUCACAUGUUUUAUUCGAUACAUUUCGACAAUGUCAGCCCUUAUGGGUUUUUCAUGACGACAGAUAAAAAACGACAGUGUUACCCUUUACGUUUCAUUUGAUAAAAACGACAGUGUUACCCCUUAUGUUUUUUUCCCAUGACUGAUGAAAAACAACAGUGUUACCCCUUAUAUUUUAUUUGACAUGGGCAAAUUUUUUUUUUUCAUGAUGACCAAUAAAAAACAACAUGUCACCCCUCAUGUUUCAUUUGAUAUAAACGACAGUGUUACCCCUUGUGUUUUUUUUCAUGACGACCAAAGUAAAACAACAGUGUCACCCCUUAUGUUUUAUUUGAUAAAUAUCG
ensembl:lncRNA